GAUGAACGCUGGCGGCGUGCCUAAUACAUGCAAGUCGAGCGAACGGACGAGAAGCUUGCUUCUCUGAUGUUAGCGGCGGACGGGUGAGUAACACGUGGAUAACCUACCUAUAAGACUGGGAUAACUUCGGGAAACCGGAGCUAAUACCGGAUAAUAUUUUGAACCGCAUGGUUCAAAAGUGAAAGACGGUCUUGCUGUCACUUAUAGAUGGAUCCGCGCUGCAUUAGCUAGUUGGUAAGGUAACGGCUUACCAAGGCAACGAUGCAUAGCCGACCUGAGAGGGGGAACGGCCAAAAUGGAAAUGAGAAAAGGGACAGAAUCCUAAGGGAGGCAGGAGUAGGGAAUUUUCCGGAAUGGGCGGAAGCCUGAAGGAGCAAAGGCGCGUGAGGUAAGAAGGGUCUCGGAUUGGAAAAACCUGGUAAUAGGGAAGAACAUAUGGGGAAGGAAACGGGCAAAACUUGAAGGGAACUAAAUAGAAAGGCAAGGCUAAAUAAGGG
rnacentral:rRNA from 1 species